GAGAAUGGGAAGAGAGAAUGAAAGAGAGAAAGAAAAAAAAAAGAACAAAUGAAUCAUUAUUGAACAUGUGAACCAGAGCACAGGUUCGCUUGCGUAAUGGGUUGGAAUAAAUGCAAUGACAGGCGAGAUAUCUACUUGCUUUGUUGCCAACCACAGAAGCAUUACGAGAACAGACACGGGGACUAGUGGAGCGAUUCUUUCACCUCGGGAUGAAAGGUGGCGGAAUGUAGGUUACGGGAUGAUGCUUCAUUUAUGCGCCAAGUUUCUAAGAAUAGAACUUCCAUAAUCAAAUAUUUGUGCUACAACCUCGAACCCGCUACCCCCUGGGGUGGGUAUCUAAUGGUAUUCGAAAGAAACAACAGCGGCGCAACAACGCUAAGUGGCAAUACUCCAUCCACAAUAUCCAUUCGGGAGGUUUAAUUCUCUUCUUGACCGCACGAAACUAAACGGGGAAUCUGUCAUGGUUUCGUAGUGGGCCAUCUGCUUCUAUCCACUUGGGGAAUGCCGCCUUGCUUGCAGGCGACCAAUUGCGCCAAUAACCACUCCACCAUCCAGUACCGCCAUCACCACCGUAGCACAGAGUUACCGACGACAAUCAUAUCAAAAGCUUGGCACAGCAACCAAUAGAACCCUGGCGCACGACAACGGCGGGACGCAAAACGCGCAUGCAAAGCGACCGUGUGUGAGGUUUUAUGGAUGGAGUGUCAAGUGGUUUGCCCCGGGAGCAAUGGGAAGCAACAUGCAGCGGGCCCUUGCAGAUGAGAGACUAACACGUUCAACAACGGUACCUCGCCUUCCCCAAAAAAAAAAGACUAAUAAAACGACAAGGGAAAACGAUCUUCAAAAAGAAUAAAAAAAAACCGCGCCACGGCCUGUACCCACUCGUUAUGUGAUUAUUUUUAUUCCACCCGGAAACGAAAAAAGGCCCUCCAGAGAACGUUUUUCACCCUUUUUUUUUGGGGAUUUGAGCCCAUCCAUGACUGUCGGAAGUUUCGUUUUUUUUUGGAUGGUAUAAUUUUCAUUUGUACGGUGGAAAACGGACGAGUGUUAAAAAAAAGCAGGGAGAAAUGACUUAAAUUUGGUUGCACACGACCAGCAUUAUAAAAUGCUCAGGUGUCCACCGAACGCUCUGGAGAAAUAAAAAAAGUGAACGGAAGGCAAAGAAAAUGUUUUCAGUAUUGCUUAAAAUUAUGUCUAAAUAUUUAAAUUCCAACUAAACGCAAAAUAGCCUAAGCAAUUUCUAUUUUAAUCGUAUAAACCAGCUUAAAGUUAAUAAGAAUUGAAACUAGAAUAUUAAUUUUUCUAUUGAAGUUGUCUGAAAUCUGACGAUAAAAUAGGGUUUUCUUGAAAAAGUGAGAAAAUUAAAACCAUUUCUCGAUUCUUUUCAAACUCAAAUGGUAUUUCUAGAAGUAAAUGAGGAAUUUUCUCUACUUUUAAAGUUCAUUCUAUUCUUUCUUUUGUUUAAAUUUAGAGGGAUGCCAUGCAAAAGCUCCUAAAACGUGGGAAAAGUCCACAUCUACCUCGAAAUGUUGCAAUUUAACUUGAAAACAAUAAAAAAAUCGUUAAAAUUUUAUCAUUCCACAACAAAACCUUUGCCAUUUCAAAUACUAUUGCAUUCCAGCUUUUAUUUAAUUAAAUCACGUAACGUUUCAUAAUAAUCUCCACAAUUUCAAUUUUGAGCGAUUUCAUUUCAAUUUCUGAUUUCCAAUAUUCCGUGAUUCAUCGCUUCCAGCGUACGAAUGCAUUAUCAGACAAAAUAAACAAAGAAUAACACAUAUUUACCACAUUUCAUUCAAGCCACCCGAAAGGCAGAUUAGAAAUGCACCCGUAUACGUAAAACUGGGUGAGUAAACAUAAACUUGUGAAUGAUUGGAACAACCGGGUCAAGCGAGAGGAAAUUAAACACAAGUUUUGGACGAUAGUUCGGAAGAAGUUAAACACAAUAGGCAAGUCCAGUUUCAAUUUGCUAACCAACUCACCGCGUGACCGCAACAUGAACACUAUUGGGAAACAUAACUCGGAUGGUUUCCAACCAUUUGCUGAUCAUAAAUUUCGAUCGCUUUGCAAUGCGAUUGGUUCAAGCUGUAGCGGUUCCACACAACAUGUGCAAGAUAUCUAAAUUCCCACACAGCUUGAAGUUUCAACAUUUCUGUAGAACAUUCCACUUUGCGACCUUUGCAGGCGCGUAAAGUUUAGAGCUAUUUUGCAACAAGUUAAACAUCGACCAUUGGACACACCGACACUAAGAAGGUAGAUCGAAGCGAACAGCGUAAAGAGUGCUUUCAUUUCUUUUAUCACCAUUACCACUACUCCAAAGAGUACUCCAAAGAGUACAGAGUCAACAUUCCAUUUCCAGGAGGAUGGUUUUUUGGAAAAAUUACCCUUCAAAACAGUUUUCUCUUUCCUUAUCCAUUUCCCCAUUUUAUCUAUCGAUGGCAAUAAUUUGCCCCGAUACUGGAUCAUUACUCUUCGACACGUGUGUAUUUGUGCCCGUGUCCGGUUUUUCUCUACUGACCCUUUUUCCACGGAUUUGGUAGAACAACAACAAAAAAACCACCAGGAAAAAGCUAUACAUUCUUGCUCUUCCGAGGGACGGUUUCCACGUAUCGAUUGAAUUGCAUAUCCUUGGCAAAGGCACACAACAAGUAGACCACUAACACAGCAAAGGAGUAACUUUAAACCACAGGAUUUUUAAUCGCCUUCCUUUACCCUGUGUUCGUUUCAGGUGGGGGCAGAGUUCGUGAAACUUUGCUUUAAAAGGGAAAAGUGGUUGAAGUGCUUUAAAGUUACAUGCUGUAUGUAUGCUCAGUUGGACAGCUUGGGGGAAAAUUUAAUUUUCCAACAAAUUGCAGGAUGCAUACCAGGCCAUAUGCUACGAAGCUUGCUCAAGUGCUUCGCAUACCAAAGUGACCAAAGUGAGCGUGACGCUAGCGAUCGUCGAAAAGUUUGAUAUCGAAGAAAUUCCAACAGACUAAACUGAGAAUUUCGAGGAUUUUUCUAUGUCCCAGAAUAAGAAUCUUUCGCAGAUUUUUAAUUUCAGAUUGCUCACUAUCGUGUUAAACCACGAUCGCUCGUCUAACUGAGCUUAGUGAGCGUGAGCUUUAUAUCUCUUUCGAGUCACCGAUUAAGUAUUCCUAGUUCGAACUCACUCAAGAUCAAUAGAUCAAAGCUAUGAUUCUCGAAGAUCCUAUCUUUAUCAUCGUGUCUUUCCUAUCUUCAAUUUCUAUACACAUUUUCCCAACACAGAGUUUUCCCUUAUUCAUAAUCUUUAUUUAAACUUAAAGUUAGUUUAGAUUUAAAUUUGCAAAAC